rnacentral:lncRNA from 7 species
AUGGUGUCCCUGUGGGGUCCCUAUGUGUCCCUAUGGGGUCCCUAUGUGUCCCUAUGGAGUCCCCAUGGGCUCUCUAUGGGGUCCCUAUGUGUCCCUAUGGGGUCCCUAUGUGUCUCUAUGGGCUCCCUAUGUCUCCCUAUGUGUCCCUAUGGGGUCCCUAUGUGUCCCUAUGGGGUCCCUAUGUGUCUCUAUGGGCUCCCUAUGUCUCCCUAUGUGUCUCUAUGGGGUUCCUAUGUGUCCCUAUGUCUCCCUAUGGGCUCUCUAUGGGGCAGUUAUAGGCUCUCUAUGGGGUUCCUAUGUGUCCCUAUGGGGGCCCUAUGUCUCCCUAUGGGCUCUCUAUGGGCUCCCUCUGGGCUCUCUAUGGGGUCCCUAUGGGCUCUCUAUGGGGUUCCUAUGGGGUCCCUAUGGGCUCCCUCUGGGCUCUCUAUGGGGUCCCUAUGGGCUCCCUAUGGGCUCUCUAUGGGGUCCCUAUGGGCUCUCUAUGGGCUCUGUAUGGGGCAGGUAUGGGCUCUCUAUGGGCUUUCUAUGGGGUCGCUAUGGGGUCCCGAUGGGCUCUCUAUGGGGCAGGUAUGGGCUCCCUAUGGGCUCUCUAUGGACUCUCUAUGUGUCCCUAUGUGUCCCUAUGGGCUCUCUAUGGGCUCCCUAUGGGGCAGCUCUGGGCUCCCUCUGGGCUCUCUAUGGGGUCCCUAUGUCUCCCUAUGGGCUCUCUAUGGGCUCUCUAUGGGCUCCCUCUGGGCUCUCUAUGGGGUCCCUAUGGGCUCUCUAUGGGGUUCCUAUGGGGUCCCUAUGGGCUCCCUCUGGGCUCUCUAUGGGGGCCCUAUGGGGUCCCUAUGGGCUCUCCUAUGGGCUCUCUAUGUGUCCCUAUGGGCUCUCUAUGGGGUCCUAUGUGUCCCUAUGUGCCCCUAUGGGCUCUCUAUGGGCUCUCUAUGGCCUCUCUAUGUGUCCCUAUGGGGUCCCUAUGUGUCUCUAUGGGGUCCCUAUGUGUCUCUAUGGACUCCCUAUGGGCUCUCUAUGGGACCCCUAUGGGAUCCCUAUGGGCUCUCUAUGGGACCCCUAUGGGAUCCUAUGGGCUCUCUAUGGGCUCUCUAUGGACUCCCUAUGGGCUCUCUAUGGACUCUCUAUGUGUCCCUAUGGGGUCCCUAUGUCUCCCUAUGGGCUCCCUAUGGGGCAGCUCUGGGCUCCCUAUGGGGUCCCUACGGGCUCUCUAUGGGCUCUCUAUGGGGUCCCUCUGGGGUCCCUAUGGGGCCGCUGUGGGGUCGCUCUGAGUCACUCACGUGGAGGAGGCACAGCGCCAUCUCCGUCUCGGCCAGUUUGGGGAUUGGGAUCGUGUCCCUAUGGGGUCCCUAUGUGUCCCUAUGGGGUCCCUAUGGGGUCCCUAUGGGCUCUCUAUGGGCUCUCUAUGGGGUCCCUAUAGGCUCUCUAUGGGCUCUCUAUGGGCUCUCUAUGGCCUCUCUAUGUGUCCCUAUGGGGUCCCUAUGUGUCUCUAUGGGGUCCCUAUGGGCUCUCUAUGGGCUCUCUAUGGGGUCCCUAUGGUGUCCCUAUGGGGUCCCUAUGGUCCCUAUGUCUCCCUAUGUGUCUCUAUGGGGUCCCUAUGGGGUCCCUAUGGGCUCUCUAUGGGGCAGGUAUGGGCUCCCUAUGGGCUCUCUAUGGACUCUCUAUGUGUCCCUAUGGGCUCCCUAUGUCUCCCUAUGCGUCUCUAUGGGGUCCCUAUGUGUCUCUAUGGGGUUCCUAUGUCUCCCUAUGGGCUCUCUAUGGGGCAGCUAUGGGGCAACUAAGGGGUCCCUAUGGGCUCUCUAUGGGCUCUCUAUGGGCUCCUCUGGGCUCUCUAUGGGGUCCCUAUGGGGCCGCUGUGGGGUCGCUCUGAGUCACUCACGUGGAGGAGGCACAGCGCCAUCUCCGUCUCGGCCAGUUUGGGAUUGGGAUGGUGUCCCUGUGGGGUCCCUAUGUGUCUCUAUGUAUCCCUAUGGUGUCCCUAUGUGUCCCUAUGGGGUCCCUAUGUGUCCCUAUGGGGUCCCUAUGUGUCCCUAUGUGGUCCCUAUGUGUCCCUAUGGGGUCCCUAUGUGUCCCUAUGUCUCCCUAUGUGUCUCUAUGGGGUCCCUAUGGGAUCCCUAUGGGCUCUCUAUGGGCUCUCUAUGGGCUCCCUAUGGGCUCUCUAUGGGACCCCUCUGGGCUCCCUCUGGGGUCCCUCUGGGCUCUCUAUGGGCUCUCUAUGGGGCAGCUAUGGGGUCCCUAUGGGGCCGCUGUGGGGCCGCUCUGAGUCACUCACGUGGAGGAGGCACAGCGCCAUCUCCGUCUCGGCGAGGCGCCUCCCGAUGCACUGCCGCGCUCCGAAACCGAACCCCAAAGCGGUAAAAGCAGUUUCGUUCCCGGAGCGUCGAAUCCAACGCGACGGAUCGAAACGCUGCGGUUCCGCGAACACCGCCGGGCUGCGGCCCAUGGCGUACAGCGCCCCUGGCAAAGGGUCUGGGGGGGGGGGGUAAUUGGGGGGCUUUGGGGGGGGGUCUUAUGGGGGGGGGCAAUUGGGGGGGGUAAUGGGGGGUAAUUGGGAGGGGUUUUCUUUUGGGGGGGGUCAUAGUGGGGGGUAAUUGGCGGGGGGGUCUUAAUGGGGGGGUAAUUGGGGGGGGCGUACAGCGCCACCUGGCAAAGGGUCUGGGGGGGGGGGGGGGGUAUUGGGGGGCUUUGGGGGGGUCUUAUGGGGGGGCAAUUGGGGGGGUAAUACGGGGGUAAUUGGGGGGGUUUCUUUUGGGGGGGGUCAUAGUGGGGGGUAAUU